UACGUAGGGGGCAAGCGUUGUCCGGAUUUAUUGGGCGUAAAGAGCGUGUAGGCGGCCAAGCAGGUCCGCUGUGAAAACUCGAGGCUCAACCUCGAGACGUCGGUGGAAACCGUUUGGCUAGAGUCCGGAAGAGGAGAGUGGAAUUCCCGGUGUAGCGGUGAAAUGCGCAGAUAUCGGGAAGAACACCCGUGGCGAAGGCGGGCUCUCUGGGACGGUACUGACGCUGAGACGCGAAAGCGUGGGGAGCGAACGAGG
rnacentral:rRNA from 1 species